GGCCACACCCACGGCAUAUGGAGAUUCCCAGGCUAGGGGUCCAAUCGGAGCUGUAGCCGACGGCCUACACACAACCACAGCAACGCCAGAUCCGAGCUGCGUCUGUGACCUACACCACAGUUCACAGCAACGCCAGAUCCUUAAUCCACCGAGCAAGGCCAGGGAUCGAACCCACAACCUCAUGGUUCCUAAUCAGAUUCGUUAACCACUGAGCCACGAUGGGAACUCCCUCUUUUUUUUUUUUUUAAAGGUAUUACUGCUUACAGGAGUUUGUAGUUUUAAUUUGGUCAAAUUUAAUCCAUUGUCUUUAUUAUUUGGUUGGACUUUCUGUCGCCUGUUUAGAGAACUGUUCCUCAUUCCAAGGUCAUGUUUUCCUGUAUCAUCUUUGUAAAUAUAGUUUUAACUUUCAUAUUUGAGUCUUUAAAUCCAUAUAGAAUCAAUUUUUUCAGCUAUGAUGGGCAUGAGGGAUUCAAUUUCAUUAUUCUUCCUUAUAAAGAGCCAAUGGUAAGUAUACUACUUAUCAAAAACUCUAUGCCUUAUUUCACUGAUCUACAAUGCUAGGUCUGUAAGGAAUCAAAUUCCUGUUUCUGUGCUAUCUAUUCUGUACUAUAGGUCUAUCCUGCACCAAGAUAACACUGUAUUAAUUACUAUAAAUUUAUAAUAACUUUUGAUAUAAGUAAGGGCAAUCCUUCCACCCCAUUCUUCUUCUUUAGAAAUGUCAUGGCUUUUCUUGGUCCACUGUCUUUUCAUAUAAACUUGAGAAUCAGCUUGUCAGGUUCAAUAACAAAAAACAAUAACAAAAACCCUACUCGUAUUUUAUUUGGAAUGGUAGUGAAUUUAUGAAAACUGGUAUUAUGAUACUGGGUACUCUUAUCCAUAAAGUGUGUUAUCUCCCUAUUUAUCUCUCUUUCAACAAGAUUUUAAACUUUUUUCCAUCAAAGUCUUGCAUAGUCUCUGCUAAUGCCUAAAUAGUUUAUAUUUCUACAGUACUAUAUAGGUCGAGUUUUUUUAUAAUUACAUAUUCAAGGAGUUAUAAUUAGGAUUAAAUAAUAUUUAUAAAGUACCUAAGAAAGUGGCUACUACUAUAUGUUGUUUAUUGAAUAAAACCAAAUAAAUCACAUAUUCCAUUUAUCUCUGGUGUGUUAUUUUUAGAAUAAUUUUGACUAGCUAUUAAAAGAAUGGUGUUGAGAUUUUUAGUGUUUGUGUGAGAUUCACAUAUAAAUUUGGGAACAACUGAGAUAUUUACCACAUGGAAUUAUCUUUGAGAUAAUUCCAGGAACCCCAUGCCUUUGUAUUUACUCAAUUAUUACUUUAUUUCCCUUGGUGACAUGCCGUAGUUUUUUUCUACAUUUCUUAAGUUUGUUCUUAGCUGUGGGCCUUCUAAAAGUUGCCAUAAUUAUUGAGAUUUUUUAAAUAUUUAUAAAAUAUGAACAUCAAUUUAUCAUUUUAAUUACAUGAAUAUCCACUCACUGUAAAAGAAAAAAAUCCUUUUCAACAAACAAGUGUUUCCAGUAAAUGUUUCCUACCCCUCAAUUCCUUUAAUUAUUGGAUAAGGUGAAUAUUUUUUGUCAUCUUCAUUCCUCCAUGAUAAAAUGACUGCACGUAGUCCUAUUCUAUUUUGCUUUGUUUUUAAAGGUGAGUUAUCUUGGACUUCUCAUUGUGGCUCAGCAGAAACAAACCCGACUCAUAUCCAUGAGGAUGUGGUUUGAUCCUUGGUCUUGCUCAGUGGGUUAAGUAAGGAUCUGGUGUUGCUGUGAGCUGUGAUGUAGGUUGCAGACGUGGCUCAGAUCCUGCACUGUUGUGGCUGUGGGGGUAGGCUGGCAACUGCAGCUCCUAUUCAACCCCUAGCCUGGGAACUUUCAUAUGCAGCCAGUAUGCCCCUAAAAAUAAAUAAAUAAAUAAAUACGAGCUGUCUUUUUCUUCCUGGCUUUUCAGCUCUCACUAGUUUGAAGAGUCUUUUAAAAAUGAUGAUUCUCUACAUCUUCUAUUUUGUUCAGAAUUAUAUGGAAAAUAUACUGAUUUUUGAGUAUUUGGGCCAUCUGAAUAUCCUUAAGUGAUAAUCACUACCAUGACUGCUGUGUUUAAAAACCUCACGAUAAAGGGAUAAGGGAAGAAGCUGGAAGUCUUGGCAGUAAUCCUGGUGGGAAAGGAAGGUUUCUAACCAGGUUGAUAGUAAUAAAAGUGGUAAGAAGUAGCUGAAUUUUGGAUAUAUUUUGAAGGUAGUGCCAGUUAAGACUUCCUGAUGGAUUAGGAGUGACUCUAAAACCAGGAAGAAAAUAAUCAGCAACUAAGGUGGGAGAGGCCAAAGCAGGUUUGGAUGGGCGAAUCAAGAAUUUUGACUACCACUGAGUUUUUGAAGGAUGUAUAAUUUUUACUUUUCUGAGUUUUUUUGUUUGUUUGUUUGUUUAAGAGUCUAGUCCUGUUUUUGGCAGUUUCUCUUUGUGGAUACAAGUCACACCACAUUUCACCUUCUAAAACACACAAAAGUCCGUGCUGCUGCAUCUGAAGUAUUAAGAGCCCAGGCAGUCACCAAACCAUCUCUACAAAGCCCCAAGACUCCACAGAACACAAUCUGAAAACCGAAGGUAUAAGGGAGGAGCUCUGUAUUUAUUGAUUUCACACAGGUGUUCGGGUCUUCUAGUGGACCCGGCUCUGCAAGCCCCUAGUUGAACUGGGGAGCACCAACAAGUGCACCAGCAUUUACUGUAUGAUCACAGAAGCCAGGGUCUAAAGCAAUCAAACAGUCUUAGGCUCCCUACCAUUCAACAGGGUCGUGGAAAUUAUGUUUUCUAAAGACAUGGCAGGGAAUCUACAAACAAGUUUACAAAUGUUUCUGUUCCGUUCUUACCAAAAGGCUUUCUAAGAAAAGCAUCAAAAGUUCUGCAGCUUUUGAAAAGGUUAGACUAGAUGUGCUCCUUUAUGCCUUUUUGAUAUAAGUGUUUGAACUUCCAGAAUACAACAUGUAAAUGAAAUAUGUUAAUUACACUGACCCUGGCGCACAUACAUAUUAGAACAUAUAAAUGUUGAGAAGUCAUUCUGCAGAGCUGUCAGAAAACUUCAGAUCAAGGAUAUUUAAAUACUAGAUAUAAGAAAGUCCUAUGCAAAAAAAAGGUGGGGAAUGGAGGGGGUAGGUUUGCCACCAGCAAUACAAUGCUAAAACCAGUCACUGAAUCUGCAAUUCAGUCAAGGUAACUAGUAUAUAUAUUAGAUGGUUGGCAGAGACUUAUACCAAUGCUGCAUUAUGUUCUAGGACAAAAAAUUGGGAUAAUGCCUUUAUACUACAUUCUUAUAAGAAUAUAGAUCUCAAAGUGUGCCUGUGCUCCAAUAAAAUUUUAUUUGGGAAAAAAAAAAAAAAACCCAAAAAACCCAAAAAACAUGGCGGGGGCUAGAUCUGAUCCACAGCUAUGGUUUGCUAGUUUGUGGCCUACAGGGCAACUAUAUCAACAUAACACAAGUUCACAAAGCUGGACAUGUGGGGGAAAUGUGUUUUAUAGGAAUAGCUAUAGCCUGAUAAAGCUGCUAUGAGGUACCCAUAAGGAGGGGUAGCAAAAAAAUAAACAUGCUCAGCUUCAAACCUGGCAUAGCAGUGGACUAUUAGAACCUAUAGAGGCAGAAAGAACAAUUGGCAUAGAGCAGUGAAAAUAAGACAGGCAAGGUCAAGUGGCAGCAAUAAACACAAGCCUUCUUCUGUAGUUAGAAUAAUUAUGAAUCACAGUAAUAAUGUCAUAGAACUGUAAUUUUAGAUGGAGGUGGCCUUAGAAAUAACCUUGUCCAACUUAGGUAUCAUAUGGAAAGGGAACACAAAGCCCAUAGUGUAGUAAAUUAACAAAGAGAAUUUCAAACCAAGGUAUUUUUGGAGAAUAAGGAUGGGAUUACAUCACCAAACAGUGUCUGUAAUGCAAGUGUCAGAUCUCAGUUGCAAACGAUAAAGCUGUUAUACAGCAUAAAUUAUUUAUAAGUAAAAACAAAAGAGUAGUGAAAUUUUCCAUUUGAUCUGAGCUUAGUAUGCUGAUGUGGUUAAAAUGAGAAACAAGGUCAUAAAGGUAUAGAAAUUCGUCCAAAUAAAUAAUAUACAAAUAUAUAAGAAUACAAAUAAUUACAAAAACACUUAGUGUUUAAUUCAACACAUAUGGGCAAAGAAAAGUAUAUUUUUACAUAAAUCCUCUGGGAACGAAUGUGUUUUACUUCAAACAGUGGGAAUCAGUAUGUAUUGUAGAAAAUCAGGCUAAACUACCUAAAGAGUUAGCUUGUGAGUAAUAUAAAUGUCAUUUAUUCACUCUGAUUAGUUUGAUUAUAUCUUGCACUUUAAAAUAUAAAGAAAAUUAGAAUUUGUGUAUUAAGGUAGUUUGGUGACUAGAAUAAUCAUAGACCACUCAAUUUAAAAUAACUAUGUCAAUGAAACUAGAACACACCCUCAUACCAUGCACGAAAAUAAACUCAAAGUGGCUUAAGACUUAAAUAUAAGACAGGACACCAUCAAACUCCUGGAAGAGAACAUAGGCAAAACACUCUCUGACAUCAACCUUACAAAUGUUUUCUCAGGUCAGUCUCCCAAAGCAACAGAAAUAAAAGCAGAAAUAAACCAAUGGGACCUAAUCAAACUGACAAGCUUUUGCAUGGCAAAGGAAACCAAAAAGAAAACAAAAAGACAACUUACAGAAUGGGAGAAAAUAGUUUCAAAUGAUGCAACCGACAAGGGCUUCAUCUCUAGAAUAUAUAAGCAACUUAUACAACCCAACAGCAAAAAGGCAACAACGCAACUGAAAACUGGGCAAAAGACCUGAAUAGACAUUUCUCCAAGGAAGAGAUACAGAUGGCCAACAAGCACAUGAAAAAAAUGCUCCACAUCACUGAUUAUCAGAGAAAUGCAAAUCAAAACUACCAUGAGACACCACCUCACACCAGUCAGAAUGGCCAUCAUUUUAAAGUCCACAAAUAACAAAUACUCCUGCACUGUUGGUGGGAAUAUAAGCUGGUACAACCACUAUGGAGAAUAGUAUGGAGGUACCUUAGAAAACUAUACAUCGAAUUACCAUAUGACCCCGCAAUCCCACUCUUGGGCAUCUAUCUGGACAAAACUCUACUUAAAAGAGACACAUUCACCCGCGUGUUCAUUGCAGCACUAUUCACAAUAGCCAAGACAUGGAAACAACCCAAAUGUCCAUCAACAGAUGAAUGGAUUUGGAAGAUGUAUAUAUAUGUACAAUAGAAUACUAUUCAGCCAUUAAAAAAGAACAAAAUAAUGCCAUUUUCAGCAACAUGGAUGCAACUAGAGACUCUCAUCCUGAGUGAAGUAAGUCAGAAAGAGAAAGACAAAUACCAUAUGAUAUCACUUAUAUCUGGAAUAUAAUAUAUGGCACAAAUGAGACUUUCCACAGAAAAGAAAAUCAUGGACUUGAAGAACAGACUUGUGGUUGCUUAGGGGGAGGGAGAGGGGGAGGGAGUGGGCUGGAUUGGGAGCUUGGGGUUAAUAGAUGCAAACUAUUGCCUUUGGAAUUGAUUAGCAAUGAGAUCCUGCUGUGUAGCACUGGGAACUAUGUCUAGUCACUUAUAGUGGAGCAUGAUAAUGUAAGAAAAAAGAAUGCAUACAUGUAUGUGUAACUGAGUCACCAUGCCGUACAGUAGAAAAAAAACAAAAUAAUGUAUUGAGGAAACAAAAAAAAAAAAAAAAAGAGAGAGAAAGAUUAAAAAAUGAAAAUAAAUAAAAAGCACUAUGCAAAAUAAAAUAAAAUAACUAUGAAAAGAGUUCCUGUCACGGUUCAGUGGUAACAAAUCUGACUAGAGUAUCCAUGAGGAUGCAGGUUCGAUCCCCGUCCUCACUCAGUGGGUUAAGGAUCCUGGCAUUGCUGUGGCUGUGGCGUAGGCCGCUGGCUAUAGCUCUAAUUCGACCCCUAGCC
rnacentral:lncRNA from 1 species